rnacentral:lncRNA from 1 species
UAAGAUGGAAGAACUAUAAUUAUCACUAGCCUAACAUCUCAUCUUCUUGCUUGCGGGACCGUGUCAACAUUUAUUUUAAUUUUGGGUUUGAUUAUAAUUAUUAUACAAACUAUGAUAGGUAGUAUUUUGUUUAAAAUUAAGAUUUAUUAUUGACAAGAGGUCUAUCAAAUCCUCAAAACCACAUGAUGGUGUUUCCCAAGGGAAAGGAGGAGGAGCAGAAGAAGUAGAAAGAGAAGAAGAAGGAGAAGAA